CAGAGUAAGUGCCUGGUAUUCAGCGGUGUUCCCGGCUCUUACUAAACUUUGAGAUUCCAAGAAUUCCAAGAGUAUGCCUCUUUAAUCCCUAUCAGGAUUAGCAGAGAGACAACCGAAAAAAGCCUUCCACCCCCACACUCCAUGUGCAUCCGCAUGUAAUCAGCGACCUGAGGCUGGGAGUUAAAGAAGGCACCAUGUUGGUCUCAGUCUUUCGCCAAGAACAGUCGGAGGGGUCCUUCCUCCUCGCUCCAAGGCAGACAGUGCUGGGACACUGACCUCAGUAGCAAUGAUCCAAUCUUUCGUUGAGAUAAUCCUCUACCCACCACCAAACAAGAGUGAACUUUCCCCUAACUGGACUUUCAG